rnacentral:lncRNA from 1 species
GCUUGGCCAUCUCACAUGCAUGUCCCUCUUGUGGUACUAACCUUAUCUGUCUAAUGCUCCUUUACAGGGAAGCUUGAUGCUGCUGGGCAGCUGGACUCGUACUGAGUGCAGUAUGGCCAUAUUUGUGGAAGACUGAGACAUGCAAUCUGAUUAGUGCUGAAAAUACCAGUUUUCUGAGCCACAGGGCACAAAAUUCAAGCAGUUGUUGUAUCUUCCUUCGUCUCUCUCCUUGUGUCAUCUUAGCUAAAAUACAAUCUGCAGCGAGAGACCAAAUUCCAUCAGGUGAAUAACUUGGCUGAUUGUGCUGUUCCUUGGUCCAAAGGUGGCCACCAGGUAGGUCUGUCCAUUGGUGGCUGACAGGUUAGCAAAAAUGACUGACCAGACAGUCUGCAAACCGGACCCAGGAUUUCUGGAGGAAAAGUGAUGUGGCAGAGCACCAUGACCCCUUCUGCUCCAAUUGGCAGUUUGUAAACAGCUGCAAUAUAGAGACAACGACUAAUCAUUUUAACACCAAUGCGUCAGAUGCUGCUUGAGACCACUGGGUGGGCGCUGGAGCUCCUAUCACUUUUGUAGCUUCCCUUCAGACAGGAUGAAUUCAACCCACUGCAGAGGGAAAGGGCAUCAUUUCCACAGAAUAAGUGAGACGUCUGAAUCAUAGGCAAUUGCUCUGCUUGUCUUGUGCACUGCCAGUGUCCCAGUUCACAUAACUGGGAAAGAUCCAGAAGGAAUCAAUU